AAUUUUAUAGUUAAAUUAAUAACAUUAAAUUGCAAAUUUAAAAUUAUAAUAUUUUAUUAUUAUUAAAAUUU
rnacentral:tRNA from 1 species